AUUGAACGCUGGCGGCCGGCCUAACACAUGCAAGUCGAACGAGUGGCGGACGGGUGAGUAAUGUCUGGGAAACUGCCUGAUGGAGGGGGCUCACUCCUGUAAACGGUAGCUACUACCGCCUACCAUCCUAUUUUCCCCGAGGGGAUUAGGGAGUGGGUGGGGUAAAGGCUCACCAAGGCGACGAUCCCUAGCUGGUCUGAGAGGAUGACCAGCCACACUGGAACUGAGACACGGCCCAGACUCCUACGGGAGGCAGCAGUGGGGAAUAUUGCACAAUGGGCGCAAGCCUGAUGCAGCCAUGCCGCGUGUGUGAAGAAGGCCUUCGGGUUGUAAAGCACUUUCAGCGGGGAGGCGUUACCCGCAGAAGAAGCACCGGCUAACUCCGUGCCAGCAGCCGCGGUAAUUC
rnacentral:rRNA from 1 species